AACGAACGCUGGCGGCAUGCCUAACACAUGCAAGUCGAACGAGACCUUCGGGUCUAGUGGCGCACGGGUGCGUAACGCGUGGGAACCUGCCCUUAGGUUCGGAAUAACUCCCCGAAAGGGGUGCUAAUACCGGAUAAUGUCUUCGGACCAAAGAUUUAUCGCCUUUGGAUGGGCCCGCGUUGGAUUAGCUAGUUGGUAGGGUAAAAGCCUACCAAGGCGACGACCCAUAGCUGGUCUGAGAGGAUGAUCAGCCACACUGGGACUGAGACACGGCCCAGACUCCUACGGGAAGCAGCAGUGGGGAAUAUUGGACAAUGGGCGAAAGCCUGAUCCAGCAAUGCCGCGUGAGUGAUGAAGGCCUUAGGGUUGUAAAGCUCUUUUACCCGGGAUGAUAAUGACAGUACCGGGAGAAUAAGCUCCGGCUAACUCCGUG
rnacentral:rRNA from 1 species